AUUGAACGCUGGCGGCAUGCCUUACACAUGCAAGUCGAACGGUAACGCGGGGCAACCUGGCGACGAGUGGCGAACGGGUGAGUAAUGCAUCGGAACGUGCCUGGUAGUGGGGGAUAACUGCUCGAAAGAGCAGCUAAUACCGCAUACGACCUGAGGGUGAAAGGGGAGGUCUCAAGACCUCUCGCUAUCAGAGCGGCCGAUGUCGGAUUAGCUAGUUGGUGGGGUAAAGGCCCACCAAGGCAACGAUCCGUAGCUGGUCUGAGAGGACGACCAGCCACACUGGGACUGAGACACGGCCCCAGACUCCUACGGGAGGCAGCAAUGGGGAAUUUUGGGCAAUGGACGCAAGUCUGAUCCAGCCAUGCCGCGUGCGGGAAGAAGGCCUCGGGUUGUAAACCGCUUUCGUCAGGGAAGAAAUCUUCUGGGCUAAUACCCUGGGAGGAUGACGGUACCUGAAGAAUAAGCACCGGCUAACUACGUGCCAGCAGCCGCGGUAAUACGUAGGGUGCAAGCGUUAAUCGGAAUUACUGGGCGUAAAGCGUGCGCAGGCGGUUGUGCAAGACAGGUGUGAAAUCCCCGAGCUCAACUUGGGAACUGCACUUGUGACUGCACGGCUAGAGUACGGUAGAGGGGAGUGGAAUUCCCGCGUGUAGCAGUGAAAUGCGUAGAUAUGCGGAGGAACACCGAUGGCGAAGGCAGCUCCCCUGGACCUGUACUGACGCUCAUGCACGAAAGCGU
rnacentral:rRNA from 1 species